rnacentral:misc_RNA from 1 species
AAUACUAGCAAUUCAAACAACAGCCUGCAAAAAAAUAAAUAAAUAUAUAAUAUGAUAGAUAGAUAGAUGAUCAUUUCUUAAUUCUCGUAGAUGAUCAUUUCUUAAUUCUCGCAAAUUCGUGCAUUGGAAAUGCCUUUUUUUCUAAAAAAAUUUGAAAAGGAGUGAGACAUUUUGAAAAGGAGAGAGACUGACAAAACUUACUUAUCAUCAUGAACA